rnacentral:rRNA from 1 species
GAUGAACGCUGGCGGCGUGCCUAAUACAUGCAAGUCGAGCGAACAGACGAGGAGCUUGCUCCUUUGACGUUAGCGGCGGACGGGUGAGUAACACGUAGGUAACCUACCUAUAAGACUGGGAUAACUUCGGGAAACCGGAGCUAAUACCGGAUAAUAUUUCGAACCGCAUGGUUCGAUAGUGAAAGAUGGCUUUGCUAUCACUUAUAGAUGGACCUGCGCCGUAUUAGCUAGUUGGUAAGGUAACGGCUUACCAAGGCAACGAUACGUAGCCGACCUGAGAGGGUGAUCGGCCACACUGGAACUGAGACACGGUCCAGACUCCUACGGGAGGCAGAAGUAGGGAAUCUUCCGCAAUGGGCGAAAGCCUGACGGAGCAACGCCGCGUGAGUGAUGAAGGUCUUCGGAUCGUAAAACUCUGUUAUUAGGGAAGAACAAACGUGUAAGUAACUGUGCACGUCUUGACGGUACCUAAUCAGAAAGCCACGGCUAACUACGUG